rnacentral:rRNA from 1 species
AUGGGCGAUCGCAUCGCCGCCCCAAGGGUGUGUUUGGUUUCUGUCACUGAGUGGAACGGCACGGGUCGGUUCCGUUCCCAGACCCCAUUCCUGCGUUUGGAUUGUCAAAGGAACCAGAACCACUCGAUUCCAGGGAAUGGCAUAUUCGCUGUUUAUGCCGUUCCAAGCGCCCCAGAUUCUAGUGUAGUCCCCCCAAGCCCAAUGGUCGGAUGGUCGGAUGGUCGGGAGGAGUACAUAUCCGUUUAUCUGGAGUUGAUGAGCAAGUAUGUGGAGGCUUUGGCAUUCGUAGACCUGAGACUGAUCAACCAAGUCACUGGAGAUGCGUGUACAAUAUGUGCAGAGAACAGGGUGCCGAAUCAGUUCAGGUCUAGCAGCUUCGAAGAGGCUUCCUGGGGGCGUGAAAAGUUUAUCAGUAAACGUGCUUUGAAAGAUUCAGGGUAUAUCCGAGAUAACCGCCUUGUUAUUGAGUGUGUCAUUACUGUGGUACACGAACUAAGGGUGUCUGAAAACAAAGAAUCCUGCGAAAUUGAAGUCCCUCCCCCAAAUGCAUUAGAGCAUUUUGGCAAGAUGCUGAAGGAUAAGUCCAGAGCAGAUGUGACCUUCGAAGUUAGAGGAGAAAUGUUUCCUGCCCACAGGGCAGUGCUCUCUGCCAGGUCGCCAGUUUUCAAAGCGCAGCUAAGUGAACCCAUGAAGGAGAACAAGAUGCGGCACAUAACCGUUGAUCGCAUGGAACCGGUGGUUUUCGAGGCUCUGCUCCAUUUCGUUUACACUGAUUCUUUGCCUACAAUGGAUGAUCUUGACAGAUCUGAAAGAAAUGCCGUGGUCCAGCAUCUAUUUGCAGCAGCGGAUCAAUAUGGUCUAGAUAGGUUGAAGCUUAUGUGUGAACGCAUCUUGUGCCUGAACCUUGAUGUCAAUAAUGUGGAUGUUGUACUGCGUCUAGCUGAUCGAUACGACUGCCAGAAGCUCAAAGAAGCAUGUGUUGACUUUUUGGUUCCUUCAGAGAGAAUCGAUGCUGUUGUGGCAAGCCGAAUACGAGUCAAUAAAGUUGGUUUCUCCCUCUCCAUUAGCAGACUUGUGGGAGAAGAAUACUCGUCCCCCCAAACGUUCCUUUUAGAACAUGUGUAA